GAUGAACGCUGGCGGCGUGCCUAAUACAUGCAAGUCGAGCGGUAAGGCUCCUGCAGAUUGUUUGAUAUAUACAGAUAAGGGAAGGCUCCCAAAUCUGAUCGAAUAAUGUGCUGGAGUACACGAGCGGCGGACGGCUGAGUAACACGUAGGAACGUACCCAAACUGAGGGAUAAGCACCAGAAAUGGUGUCUAAUACCGCAUGUGAUCUUCGGAUAAAGCUCCGGCGGUUUGGAACGGCCUGCGCAUGAUUAGCUUGUUGGUGAGGUAAUAGCUCACCAAGGCGACGAUCAUUAGCUGGUCUGAGAGGAUGACCANCCAGACUGGGACUGAGAACGGCCCAGACUCCUACGGGAGGCAGCAGUAGGGUAAUUUUCCACAAUGGACGCAAGUCUGAUGGAGCAACGCCGCGU
rnacentral:rRNA from 1 species